GCGUAAGGGCUCGCAGGCGGUUUCUUAAGUCUGAUGUGAAAGCCCCCGGCUCAACCGGGGAGGGUCAUUGGAAACUGGGGAACUUGAGUGCAGAAGAGGAGAGUGGAAUUCCACGUGUAGCGGUGAAAUGCGUAGAGAUGUGGAGGAACACCAGUGGCGAAGGCGACUCUCUGGUCUGUAACUGACGCUGAGGAGCGAAAGCGUGGGGAGCGAACAGGAUUAGAUACCCUGGUAGUCCACGCCGUAAACGAUGAGUGCUAAGUGUUAGGGGGUUUCCGCCCCUUAGUGCUGCAGCUAACGCAUUAAGCACUCCGCCUGGGGAGUACGGUCGCAAGACUGAAACUCAAAGGAAUUGACGGGGGCCCGCACAAGCGGUGGAGCAUGUGGUUUAAUUCGAAGCAACGCGAAGAACCUUACCAGGUCUUGACAUCCUCUGACAAUCCUAGAGAUAGGACGUCCCCUUCGGGGGCAGAGUGACAGGUGGUGCAUGGUUGUCGUCAGCUCGUGUCGUGAGAUGUUGGGUUAAGUCCCGCAACGAGCGCAACCCUUGAUCUUAGUUGCCAGCAUUCAGUUGGGCACUCUAAGGUGACUGCCGGUGACAAACCGGAGGAAGGUGGGGAUGAC
rnacentral:rRNA from 1 species